rnacentral:rRNA from 1 species
UUUAUCCUACGGGGGGCAGCAGUAGGGAAUCUUCCACAAUGGACGAAAGUCUGAUGGAGCAACGCCGCGUGAGUGAAGAAGGGUUUCGGCUCGUAAAGCUCUGUUUGUAGUGAAGAAAGAUAGAGGUAGUAACUGGCCUUUAUUUUACGGUAAUUACUUAGAAAGUCACGGCUAACUACGUGCCAGCAGCCGCGGUAAUACGUAGGUGGCAAGCGUUGUCCGGGUUUAUUUG